UACAGAGGUCUCAAGCGUUGUUCGGAUUCAUUGGGCGUAAAGGGUGUGUAGGCGGCGCCGUAAGUCGGGUGUGAAAUUUCGGAGCUUAACUCCGAAACUGCAUUCGAUACUGCGGUGCUUGAGGACUGGAGAGGAGACUGGAAUUCAUGGUGUAGCAGUGAAAUGCGUAGAGAUCAUGAGGAAGACCAGUGGCGAAGGCGGGUCUCUGGACAGUUACUGACGCUGAGGCACGAAGGCCAGGGGAGCAAACGGG
rnacentral:rRNA from 1 species